rnacentral:rRNA from 1 species
UAGGGAAUAUUGCUUAAUGGGCGAAAGCCUGAAGCAGCAACGCCGCGUGCACGAUGAAGGUCUUCGGAUCGUAAAGUGCUUUUUUAGAGGAUGAGGAAGGACAGUACUCUAAGAAUAAGCCUCGGCUAACUACGUGCCAGCAGCCGCGGUAAAACGUAGGAGGCAAGCGUUAUCCGGAUUUACUGGGCGUAAAGCGUGUGCAGGUGGUUUGGUAAGUUGGAUGUGAAAGCUCCUGGCUUAACUGGGAGAGGUCGUUCAAUACUGCCAGACUUGAGAGUGAGAGAGGGAGGUGGAAUUCCGGGUGUAGUGGUGAAAUGCGUAGAUAUCCGGAGGAACACCAGUGGCGAAAGCGGCCUCCUGGCUCAUUUCUGACACUCAUACACGAAAGCUAGGGUAGCAAACG